UUUUAAGGCUGCAGUAAUCACUGUUGGCGGACAAUUGUUUUUUCUUGUUAUAAAUUGCUAAUUAGUAUUGAAAGUCUAACCCGUUUUGUAGAAAAUCCUCCCUUAUUUUCUCUGAGAAAGCAGCUUGGACAGUAAUCUAUUUACUCAUCUCUGCACCUCUCUUCCCUCUUGUGAAAAAAAAAAUUCAGAAACCCCUAGGGACUCCCCACUGUUGAGUUCUGCUUGGGAGGAGCCGGGGAAAACAGUGGCUUCACACUGAAGUAAAUAUUGACUGGGGCUGUGGCUGAGCCUUGUUCAAAGCCUCCUAUUGUUCCCCCUUAGUCAGCACUCCAGCCCAGCCUGGAGUGUGUGUGCAUGUGUGAGGGAGAGAAGAAAGACUGUGGAGGGAAAUGAACAGACCCACAGCUGAACUCGUAAAUGCACCACAGAGCGGAAAGAGAAGCUGGCUACAAAGCCAGCAGGGCCUUAUGCUGGGUUGCAGAGAAUGUAGGAGCCUGAAGUGCAGGAACACUGGCUGUCUUGUCUGUCGAGGAGAAGUUCAGCAGACACGAAGCUGCUUGUUUGGGUGGGUCCAGCUGGUCUCCCGAGCGCAGCCUUCUUGGCGGUGAAGCAGCCUUUUCAGGACAACAUUAAAUAUAGCUUGUGGGGGAACUCGAAAGAGAAAUUGAUAAGUCUGAGUUCCAGAAUAACCGCUCUCCCUUCCUGGUACUUGUACUGACACUCAGUUGGCCUUCCUGCCUUCAGCUGUCACGUUGGAUUACACACUCUCCUGGGUCUCCUGAGUGCCACUGCAUCCCUAAGGUAUCAGAUGGGUGAGAGAGAGCCAUAUGCCAUUUGAAACGAAACUUCUGGAGUUGAGUUGUUCUUAGCGUAUGAGAAAUUUGAACUUGUUCUGCAGACAGCAUUUAGACAGAGCACAGAUACUCUUGUUUAAAGGGAAGUGCCGUGUGUAAAAGCGAAGUCAUUUUUCCCCCCUUUUAAUUCAAGAAUCCAAACAAACAGCUGGCUGCCUUAUAUUUUAGUGAAAACCAUCUUGACACAUUUACCAACAGGAAGAGUAAACAGGAAUCUUAAAAAAAAAAAAAAGGAAUCCUCAUACGUCUUGACUGUAAAGUCAUUUUUAAUAAAUACACUCUGAAAACCAGCGGCUUGAUAUGAAGUUUUCAUCUCCACGGACAUUAAACGCACAGUCUUCACAUCAGUGCUGAAGGGCACAUGCAGGCAAACACCAGGAUGAUUAGAAUAUUCAUUAAUUGCCAAGACAAUCACCAAACUGUUCUACUCCGCUAGCAUGUUAGGACAGAUAAUGUCACAAUAAAGCAAGGGACACUGUGCCUGCUGGAAGAAGGCACAUCUGUCCAGGGGCCACUGGGAAGCACUUCCGGGAAGGGAGAUAAUUUAGUCUAGAUUCUGAAUAAAUAAGCAUGGUUUUAAUAGUCAAGAUGGAAAUAGUAGAAGAAUAUUCCAGGAACCGUUAGCUACAGGAGCAAAGACCUGCAGGCCUUGUGGCCUUGUGGAUGGAGCUGGACGGGGAAGGAAACUUUUUGUACCGGGAAACUCUCCAGGCCUUUGUGGGAGAGGUGUGUUGACCAUGUUAUAGAACAUGAAUGUAUGGCUGUGUUUUUGCUUUGGAAAAAAAAUAAUAAAAGGUGCUUUGUUGUUAUCUGGUUUUGUUAUUCGAUUAGUUUUAGGUCCACAGCACAGUUGACGGCAGAUACAGAAAUACCUCUCUUCGACUCCACACCCUCCUGAAUCAGCAUUUGUAGUAUGAAGGGGGCAGGUUGCAACACUUUAUUUCUAAGUAUAAGCAGGUACUGGCGAAUGUUAAAGAUCUCCAAACUAGCCUUGGCUUCUGAGCGAUCCGGAGGGAAAUGAUAAAACCCAGGGCUUUUGCUAUUUCCCCGUGACUGGUCCUGUUUAAUCUAUCGGAAUAAUUUUUACUUCUGACAUGCGUUAAGCAGCUGUUUUCUCCCUAGUUUUGUUUGUUUUCAACAGAAACAACAACAUAACCAAAUUCAAAAAUACCUCCUGGUUGCUCAAAGCCAUCACUGAAAAUUAUGUAUAGAACAGACCAAACAUCACCAAACUCAGCAAGCUGUAAGUCAGGGUUUGUGUUGCGGGGAGGGCAUCUACGGUCUGUACGCCUCUGUUUCCAGACUUCUGGGAUAGGAGGAGGAGCUCCUGGAGCUUCAGAUUCCACCCUUAGAUCCUCCAAGUUACAGGACAGCCUCCAUGUUCCCUGUUGGUAACUAGGCGUUGCGAUGUGGAAGAGAGUUAUUCUUGUUUGUACGGCUGCAAAAGCACUUGGGUUGUCUUAGAGGAACAGGAUCGGAUGGUACCUAUCGAUUGACUCUGACUGUAUACCAUGCACAGCGCCUUGGGACCUCACCCUUGUUAUUUAUUUAGUCCUGACAAGAACUCUUAUGAGAGUGGCAUUAUACUGAUUUUUUGCUUUACAGAUGAGCAGACUGGGUGUUGCAUAUUUUAACCUAGCCCAAGGCCUCUUAGCUGUAAGUGGCCCCUUUAACCACUCAGCUGGGCUGUGUAGAGUGACAUUCUUAGUUUAAUAGAACUUGGUACAAUGCUGAAGCAUGACCUUGGGGCAAAAUUUCCGAGGACCUACAGUGCCAAAUGAUAGGGAAUCUAUGCUAAUAUGAAAGGAGUAUUAGAAACGCACACUUUAGUACUGCUUAUUGAAUGUUUAAUGGGCUGAAGGAGCAAGUCAAAACGGUUGCAUCGGUAGGCCCAUAAUUAGUUCAGAGCAUCACUGUUUGGCAGACUUGAUCAUUGGAGCUGUAGGCUGUUUUAAAUAUGUAGAGAGGAUCGUCCUGACUAUUUUGGAGAAGAAUCAGCCCACCACUGGUUCUUGAAUUAAAGUUUCAGAAGUUAAGAAUCAAUGCGGUCAAGAGGUUUUCCCAAACAUUAAUUUUCAAGUCUUGCACUCAGGGCUGGUCUUGGUUAGCAUGUUCAUGUGCACUGACUUCAACUUCUAAUGUAGUUCGCUUAUUCCUACAGUAAACACCUGUCAAAGUUGACGUAUUGGUUUAGGGGAGGAGUUGGAGGGAGAUAAAAAGGAAGGAGGAAAUGAUGUAAUAGUAUAAAUUCAAAAAAUAUACAUGUAUUUUAAAUAAAGAAACUAAUAGGGAAUAGCCUAUAUUUGCUUGAAUGGGCUUUAUUCCUGUGGCCCAGGGCCUUCCUCUGCCCACAUCUUUUUAUACUUCCUGUCAUUUCUUUCCUUCACCAUCUCUGCCUCAUGGCCUUGAGGCCAGUAAAUUAUUCUUGAUUAGUCACAAAGACAAGUCUCCUGAUAGGCUGGGAGUGGAUCAGGUUCUCUUUAAGCCUCCAGAAGUCCAUGGCAGAGGAAGAAAGGGCUUGGUGCUUCCUUUAUGCACACCACACAUCCGCUUUGCCAGACAGGCAGAUCUGUUAGCCGAAUUGAUGAUCAGGAGACCUUGGGGGCGUCUUUCCUCCUCAGCAUCUCCCGCCUUAGCCACUCAUAGGAAUGACAUAGAGAUAUUUGUAAUACAAUAGCUGUGUGCUCCUUUCUAGAUUAUAUGAUUCUUGAGGUCACAGAUUGUGGUUUGCAUGUAAAACCACUGUGCCCAGGGCUGGUUCGUCAGGAGUUGAUGGUAGGUUCUGGAUAUAGAGCUGUGCUUCUUCACUGGGUAUUUGCUGAGGUCCACAAAAAAUCUAAUCUGACUAUGUUUUAGUUCUCUGUGU
rnacentral:lncRNA from 1 species